rnacentral:rRNA from 1 species
CUGCUGCCUUCCGUAGGAGUCUGGUCCGUGUCUCAGUACCAGUGUGGGGGACCUUCCUCUCAGAACCCCUACGCAUCGUCGCCUUGGUGGGCCGUUACCCCGCCAACCAGCUAAUGCGACGCAUGGCCAUCCGCAGCCGGUAAACCUUUGGACCCGAAGGGAUGCCCCUCCGGGUCGUUACGCGGUAUUAGACGGGGUUUCCCCCGAUUAUCCCCCUGCUGCGGGCAGGUUCCAUACGUGUUACUCACCCGUGCGCCGGUCGCCGGCGGAAGCGCGAACG